UACAGAGGUCUCAAGCGUUGUUCGGAUUCAUUGGGCGUAAAGGGUGUGUAGGUGGCGCGCUAAGUCGGGUGUGAAAUUUCGGAGCUUAACUCCGAAACUGCAUUCGAUACUGGCGUGCUUGAGGACUGGAGAGGAGACUGGAAUUCAUGGUGUAGCAGUGGAAAUGCGUAGAGAUCAUGAGGAAGACCAGUGGCGAAGGCAGCUCGCUGGGACGUUACUGACGCUGAGACGCGAAAGCGUGGGAGCGAACAG
rnacentral:rRNA from 1 species